UACAGAGGGUGCGAGCGUUAAUCGGAAUUACUGGGCGUAAAGCGCGCGUAGGCGGCUUUGCAAGUCGGGUGUGAAAUCCCCAGGCUUAACCUGGGAACUGCAUUCGAGACUGCAUUGCUAGAGUAUGGGAGAGGGAAGUGGAAUUUCCGGUGUAGCGGUGAAAUGCGUAGAUAUCGGAAGGGACAUCAGUGGCGAAAGCGACUUCCUGGACCAAUACUGACGCUCAUGUGCGAAAGCGUGGGGGGCAAACAGG
rnacentral:rRNA from 1 species